AAGCCAUUAUGCAGGCAAUCUCUUACCAGCCUUUUAAACCUCGCCCAAGUGUCACUGAAUGAUUCGUCAAUAUCCUGUUCAAAAUUGGUAAUCAACUUCCUCUUUCU